rnacentral:misc_RNA from 1 species
GGAGUUCUAUGGCCUUGGUUGCUUUCUAUCAGUGUUGUGACGACACUAAUUGUUCAUAAAUGAUGGAAGAUCCAGUUUCAAUGGAGCCAGAGGAUGACUCGGUCUCCAUAAAGGCGCCAGAUGGCAUGCCCUCUCCUGAGGAUGAGCUUGGCUCCUGUGUGUGCUGUGAUGGUCCCGUUGACAGUGAGCUGGUCACUCUCUCCGAUUUGGUACUGGAGAGUGAGGAACGUCCGGUUCUAGAAGUGCUACAGGAGCUGCUGGCCUGCGCCGACAUUCCACCAAGUUCCCGCCUCUGCCGCCACUGCCUGGCUCGAGUUCUGCGAUACCACCAGCUUUGUGAGGCACUUAGGCAGUUGGAGAGACAGAUGCAGAGUACUUUUCUGGAAGUGACCGCCGCCAGAGGACUGCGCUCAUCGAAGACGCCCGCCGAGUCAUCACCAAUGGUUCUCCUGGAUGCUCCCUCCUCCCCACCCUCUGCCCUGCCCUCCCCUCCUCUUCCCUCUCCUCCUGCUCCAUCAUGUCCUCCCAUUCCAACAUCUCCACCACCUAAACUGUCAUCAUCUCAGGAUGAUAGAAGUCCUGACCGUGAGGAAAAGCCCGAGGAUCUCGCUGGUGGCGGUGUGGUAUAUGCGGAGCCUGUUGUUAGUGAGUCAGUAAAGGAAGAUCCGGCUGGGGCAGAGCUCAACAUUAGUAUACAAGUACUGCAGCCGCCGCCACCGGUCGAGUCAGUGCAGCCGGUGGUACGCCCGACGGGCACCCGGCCUCCUCUACCCUGUCCGGAGCCGGGCUGUGGCCGCUCCUUCCCCAGCCGCUCUGUGCUGGAGGAACAUGUUCACAGGUGGCACGGCCCGCCCGGACCCCGGUGUCCAGAGUGUACACUCGUGUUUGACACGGAACGGGAGAUGGAGAAACAUGUGGCGGCGGUGCACAAGGCGGGCGCCGCGCAGUACAGUUGUGGCGAGUGUGAUCAGCAGUUCCAUCUGGAGUCUGAGCUAAAGCAACAUCAGAGGAGCGAACAUGAAAAGCAGCGGAUCAUCAGGUGUCGCCACUGCCGUAAGACUUUCAGGUCUCGUAAUGCGUACCUGGAGCAUCAGACCAAACACAACGGCCAGAAUAUGAUCGACUGUCCUGUAUGCAGUGAAAAGUUCCGAACCAGAGCCUGUCUGAACCAGCACAAAUUGGUACACCGAAAGCACGGCCGGGUCCACUCCUGUGACCAGUGCGGUGGGAAGUUCGCCACUGUGGGACGGCUGAGGACGCAUGAGAUGCGAGAGCACGGCGUGGAACAGCCCUGGAGAUGUGAGGCAGACGGCUGUACCAAAUCGUUCAAGUCGAGCGCGGCGCUGGAGGUUCACUCGGUCCAACACACAGGCGAGCGACCGUUCAGCUGCCAGCAGUGUGGAAAGCGGUUUGUCACCAAACACAGACUGAAGGCGCACUUCAGAAUUCACACAGGAGAGCGGCCGUACCAGUGCGCUCAGUGUGGCAGGCAGUUCCGGUACAAGUCCAACCUGCUACAGCACAACACCGCGCACCAACAGACGGAGCGGAGCCACCGCUGCCCCGACUGUGGCCGCACAUUCCGUAAACCAGGCCAACUGGAGACCCACCGCAGCAGCUGCCAGUCCAACUCUGAAGCACCGCCCGCCACCCCGGCUACUACUGUGUCCACCCGACGGACGCCGCUCACCAAACAGUACAAGUGUUCGAUAUGUUACCGAGCGUUCUUACGGCUGGACAACCUCAGGACACACAUGUUCAUUCACUCUGAGAAGAAGCCCUUCGAGUGCCGCGUCUGUGGACUGGGAUUUGUACGUCGGUCGCAGCUGCGUGCGCACAUGCAGGCACUAGGCCAUGGCGAGGGGGUGUCCGACUACAUUAUUAAUGAGGCUGUGUUUGUGAUGAGCGAGGCUCAGGAGGCUUCAGAGCAGCGAUCAGUGCGGCUCAUCUCAGCAAGACCUACUCAGAUGGUGAAUGUCGUACAAUCCAACGGAGCUCAACUAGCCACCACCGACCCCAACCUGACUCGCAUCUUCGUGAAAACCAUCACACCAAACACAGUAACAGGACGUCCUGUUGGACUAGUCCGUGACGAUCAACAAAUACUCUUCAAAACUGCCUCCCCUCAGUCAGAAGAAGUGGACUCGCCCCGCGCUGUAACCACCGAACAGAUUGUCUUCAGGGACUCCCCUCAGCCGUAUUUGGACUCGCCCAGAAUUGUACAGUUGGAUGAUGAACAGAUUAUAUUCAAGCCAGAGUCUCCUCGAGUUGAGCUGGGUGCGUCGGAGUCAUGCUCUCAGGAUAGCUAAAGCUCCAGUAAAUGAAUAAGCUCAUGCAUCCCAAGAAAUAAGGAUCCUGCCCAAGAAUGAGUGGAAGUCGGAUUUCGGAUCACCUCGCCAUCAGCUCUGAUGUGAGUUCUGGGAGGAAUGCUGCAGGCAUGCUGACAGAUCAUAAAGAAAAAUUGUCUACGUCUGAACCAUCUGUCCUGCACGCCAAUACCAGCUAUUUUCAAACGCUGACGAAUCGGACCAUCACAAAUCACAAGACUGGAAUGCCAAUGACGCCUCCUAUGGCCUGUGUCACGUGAGGUCGGAAAAACGUUCAAACACAUGUAAAUUCGGCGUAAACGUGAUUGUAAUUGAAAUUGCUCAUGAGUAAUGCAGAAUGAAUCAAUCUAAAAUCAGUAGUAAUGUGAGUAGGUAUGUACUUGUGUGUAUGUACUUGUGUGUAUGUGCGAUACUGAUGUGUGCAUGAUGUGUGAACCAGAUUUAACAUCACCAGGGCCAACUGGCAUUCGUGAUUGUUGUAAUACAUGAUACACAUGAU